GGCGGCGUAGCUCAGUUGGCUAGAGCGACGGUCUCAUAAUCCGUAGGUCCGGAGUUCGAAUCUCCGCGCCGCCACCA
rnacentral:tRNA from 1 species